GGUGAACGCUGGCGGUAGGCCUAACACAUGCAAGUCGAACGGCAGCACAGUAAGAGCUUGCUCUUACGGGUGGCGAGUGGCGGACGGGUGAGGAAUACAUCGGAAUCUACUUUUUCGUGGGGGAUAACGUAGGGAAACUUACGCUAAUACCGCAUACGACCUACGGGUGAAAGCAGGGGAUCUUCGGACCUUGCGCGAUUGAAUGAGCCGAUGUCGGAUUAGCUAGUUGGCGGGGUAAAGGCCCACCAAGGCGACGAUCCGUAGCUGGUCUGAGAGGAUGAUCAGCCACACUGGAACUGAGACACGGUCCAGACUCCUACGGGAGGCAGCAGUGGGGAAUAUUGGACAAUGGGCGCAAGCCUGAUCCAGCCAUACCGCGUGGGUGAAGAAGGCCUUCGGGUUGUAAAGCCCUUUUGUUGGGUAAGAAAAGCAGCAGGUUAAUACCCCGCUGUUCUGACGGUACCCAAAGAAUAAGCACCGGCUAACUUCGUG
rnacentral:rRNA from 1 species